rnacentral:lncRNA from 1 species
AGUGGACUGGAGAAGCAGAGCGUGGUUAGUGGGAGCCGUGCGGUGAUGGACCUCCUGGUUGAACUCUGCCUUCAGAACCACCUGAAUCCCUCUCACUGGGCAACAUCUCUGGAAUGUCUAUGAAGUCAGACAUGAAGAAGCGCAGAGCCCCUCCUCCUCCAAGUCCCGGGCUGCUGGGUCAAGACAAGGUAUCAGAAAAGGCCUCCCUCAGCUCGCAGGCCGAUCUUCAGAAGAAGAAGAGGCGGGCGCCAGCUCCUCCUCCACCACAGCCGCCACCACCAAGUCCUGUGGUUCCCAACCGCAAGGAAGAUAAGGAAGAGAACAGGAAGAGCACAGUGGUUUAUUGCUGUGCGUCGUUCCCUACUCAUGCCAAGCGCUCCUGAUGGACAGGCCUCUUCCUGCCUCAGGCUUUUCCUGGUGUCUCUGCUGUCCUGGCUCUGAUGUUGCUGUCGUUCUACGU